rnacentral:rRNA from 1 species
GACAAAGGAUGCAAGCGUUAUCCGGAAUGAUUGGGCGUAAAGCGUAUGUAGGUGGCUUUUUAAGUCCGCCGUCAAAUCCCAGGGCUCAACCCUGGACAGGCGGUGGAAAGUACCAAGCUGGAGUACGGUAGGGGCAGAGGGAAUUUCCGGUGGAGCGGUAAAAUGCGUAGAGAUCGGAAAGAACACCAACAGCGAAAGCACUCUGCUGGGCCGACACUGACACUGAGAGACGAAAGCUAGGGGAGCGAAUGGG